GGGUUGUGAGGUUAAGCGACUAAGCGUACACGGUGGAUGCCCUGGCAGUCAGAGGCGAUGAAGGACGUGCUAAUCUGCGAUAAGCGUCGGUAAGGUGAUAUGAACCGUUAUAACCGGCGAUUUCCGAAUGGGGAAACCCAGUGUGUUUCGACACACUAUCAUUAACUGAAUCUAUAGGUUAAUGAGGCGAACCGGGGGAACUGAAACAUCUAAGUACCCCGAGGAAAAGAAAUCAACCGAGAUUCCCCCAGUAGCGGCGAGCGAACGGGGAGCAGCCCAGAGCCUGAAUCAGUGUGUGUGUUAGUGGAAGCGUCUGGAAAGGCGCGCGAUACAGGGUGACAGCCCCGUACACAAAAAUGCACAUGCUGUGAGCUCGAUGAGUAGGGCGGGACACGUGGUAUCCUGUCUGAAUAUGGGGGGACCAUCCUCCAAGGCUAAAUACUCCUGACUGACCGAUAGUGAACCAGUACCGUGAGGGAAAGGCGAAAAGAACCCCGGCGAGGGGAGUGAAAAAGAACCUGAAACCGUGUACGUACAAGCAGUGGGAGCACGCUUAGGCGUGUGACUGCGUACCUUUUGUAUAAUGGGUCAGCGACUUAUAUUCUGUAGCAAGGUUAACCGAAUAGGGGAGCCGAAGGGAAACCGAGUCUUAACUGGGCGUUAAGUUGCAGGGUAUAGACCCGAAACCCGGUGAUCUAGCCAUGGGCAGGUUGAAGGUUGGGUAACACUAACUGGAGGACCGAACCGACUAAUGUUGAAAAAUUAGCGGAUGACUUGUGGCUGGGGGUGAAAGGCCAAUCAAACCGGGAGAUAGCUGGUUCUCCCCGAAAGCUAUUUAGGUAGCGCCUCGUGAAUUCAUCUCCGGGGGUAGAGCACUGUUUCGGCAAGGGGGUCAUCCCGACUUACCAACCCGAUGCAAACUGCGAAUACCGGAGAAUGUUAUCACGGGAGACACACGGCGGGUGCUAACGUCCGUCGUGAAGAGGGAAACAACCCAGACCGCCAGCUAAGGUCCCAAAGUCAUGGUUAAGUGGGAAACGAUGUGGGAAGGCCCAGACAGCCAGGAUGUUGGCUUAGAAGCAGCCAUCAUUUAAAGAAAGCGUAAUAGCUCACUGGUCGAGUCGGCCUGCGCGGAAGAUGUAACGGGGCUAAACCAUGCACCGAAGCUGCGGCAGCGACACUAUGUGUUGUUGGGUAGGGGAGCGUUCUGUAAGCCUGUGAAGGUGUGCUGUGAGGCAUGCUGGAGGUAUCAGAAGUGCGAAUGCUGACAUAAGUAACGAUAAAGCGGGUGAAAAGCCCGCUCGCCGGAAGACCAAGGGUUCCUGUCCAACGUUAAUCGGGGCAGGGUGAGUCGACCCCUAAGGCGAGGCCGAAAGGCGUAGUCGAUGGGAAACAGGUUAAUAUUCCUGUACUUGGUGUUACUGCGAAGGGGGGACGGAGAAGGCUAUGUUGGCCGGGCGACGGUUGUCCCGGUUUAAGCGUGUAGGCUGGUUUUCCAGGCAAAUCCGGAAAAUCAAGGCUGAGGCGUGAUGACGAGGCACUACGGUGCUGAAGCAACAAAUGCCCUGCUUCCAGGAAAAGCCUCUAAGCAUCAGGUAACAUCAAAUCGUACCCCAAACCGACACAGGUGGUCAGGUAGAGAAUACCAAGGCGCUUGAGAGAACUCGGGUGAAGGAACUAGGCAAAAUGGUGCCGUAACUUCGGGAGAAGGCACGCUGAUAUGUAGGUGAAGUCCCUUGCGGAUGGAGCUGAAAUCAGUCGAAGAUACCAGCUGGCUGCAACUGUUUAUUAAAAACACAGCACUGUGCAAACACGAAAGUGGACGUAUACGGUGUGACGCCUGCCCGGUGCCGGAAGGUUAAUUGAUGGGGUCAGCGCAAGCGAAGCUCUUGAUCGAAGCCCCGGUAAACGGCGGCCGUAACUAUAACGGUCCUAAGGUAGCGAAAUUCCUUGUCGGGUAAGUUCCGACCUGCACGAAUGGCGUAAUGAUGGCCAGGCUGUCUCCACCCGAGACUCAGUGAAAUUGAACUCGCUGUGAAGAUGCAGUGUACCCGCGGCAAGACGGAAAGACCCCGUGAACCUUUACUAUAGCUUGACACUGAACAUUGAGCCUUGAUGUGUAGGAUAGGUGGGAGGCUUGGAAGUGUGGACGCCAGUCUGCAUGGAGCCGACCUUGAAAUACCACCCUUUAAUGUUUGAUGUUCUAACGUUGACCCGUAAUCCGGGUUGCGGACAGUGUCUGGUGGGUAGUUUGACUGGGGCGGUCUCCUCCUAAAGAGUAACGGAGGAGCACGAAGGUUGGCUAAUCCUGGUCGGACAUCAGGAGGUUAGUGCAAUGGCAUAAGCCAGCUUGACUGCGAGCGUGACGGCGCGAGCAGGUGCGAAAGCAGGUCAUAGUGAUCCGGUGGUUCUGAAUGGAAGGGCCAUCGCUCAACGGAUAAAAGGUACUCCGGGGAUAACAGGCUGAUACCGCCCAAGAGUUCAUAUCGACGGCGGUGUUUGGCACCUCGAUGUCGGCUCAUCACAUCCUGGGGCUGAAGUAGGUCCCAAGGGUAUGGCUGUUCGCCAUUUAAAGUGGUACGCGAGCUGGGUUUAGAACGUCGUGAGACAGUUCGGUCCCUAUCUGCCGUGGGCGCUGGAGAACUGAGGGGGGCUGCUCCUAGUACGAGAGGACCGGAGUGGACGCAUCACUGGUGUUCGGGUUGUCAUGCCAAUGGCACUGCCCGGUAGCUAAAUGCGGAAGAGAUAAGUGCUGAAAGCAUCUAAGCACGAAACUUGCCCCGAGAUGAGUUCUCCCUGACCCUUUAAGGGUCCUGAAGGAACGUUGAAGACGACGACGUUGAUAGGCCGGGUGUGUAAGCGCAGCGAUGCGUUGAGCUAACCGGUACUAAUGAACCGUGAGGCUUAACCUUACAACGCCGAAGCUGUU
rnacentral:rRNA from 1 species